rnacentral:misc_RNA from 1 species
CCGCCACGUGACCGGCGGUCGCCAUAUUUGGAGCAGUGCCCGGGGCUGUCGGCACCCUCGCGUCCAGUGGGGGUCCUCCCGCUGCUCCUUUUCGUUCCUCUCUCCCGCCGUGUUCCUUGCGCUGGCGGUCCGACUACUCCGGUGCGAACGACGCUCUUCGGCGAAGCGGGCGGCCGCGAGGCCUGUACCACGGCUGCCUUGGGUGCCGAAGGGCAGCAGCAGGGCCUGGCCAACAGCGUCCCUGGGCGGAGGCAGGGGGGCGCGACUACGGGUCUGCGGCGCGACCAUGCGCGGCCACCGGGCCUCCGGCGUCGGAUCCGUCGUUCCGAGUCCGCGCUGGUCAGCGGCGUCGCCAUGACUCAACGCUGCCUGCGCUCGCCCAGCGUCAACUUCGCCGACUGUGAAUCGCCGCUGCCCGGAGUAACGUUCGAGCAGCCACCAGGCCGGAGGCGCUACACGCCGCGACGAAUCAGCACGCUGGUAAGCGCCAAGGACCGGGCGCUGCGCAGCGAGCAGGCGGUUCGAGCGCGCGUCGGCCAGGCCGUCAACCUGGCCGUGGAGCGGUUCGUGUCGGUCGGCGAGGCCCUGGCUGACGACAACGUCGAGAUCAAGCUCGAUAUGUACGACGCGUGCCGAAGCGCGCGCGCCGCCGGCGCCAGCAUCGAGCAGCUGUGCGACGUUCGCAUGGACGAGGCGACCGAGGACCGGGGCGCGCUGGCGCGGGCCGCGCGUGCCCUGCUCGCCUCCGUCACCCGCGUGCUCCUCCUAGCAGACACCGUCGUGGUCAAGCAGCUUCUCAGCGCUAAAGACAGGGUAUCUAUAAGCUUGAAUCGCCUUGAGAAUGUCGCUAACUUCACGGAGUUUGUGAAGGCAUUCAGCCAGUUCGGCACCGAAAUGGUUGAGCUGGCUCAUCUCACUGGAGAUAGACAGAACGACAUGAAGGACGACAAGAGAAGAGCCCAGAUGGCUUCAGCGAGGAUGAUCCUCGAGCGCUCCACCAUGCUGCUGCUCACGGCCUCAAAGGCCUGCCUGAGGCACCCGGAGUGCGAGACGGCGCGGGAGAACCGCGACACGGUGUUCCUGCAAAUGCGCCGCGCCAUGGACCUGGUGCACUUCGUGGUCAAGGACGGCGUCAUACCGGAGCUCGCCUGCGCCGCCUCCUCUUCGUCCGAGUACCGCCGCAAGGGCGCCCGCAGGGGCUCCUGGCGCCUCGACGAGUUCGACCGAUGCGCCACCGUCCACAACGCCGUCAAGAUGUUCGAGGACCUGGUGGAGACAAUGCGAAUGACGCUGGUGGGGCCCAGCUGCCGUGAGCGGUUGUCGAGUGCCUUAGACGCGGUGGUGGAGCGCACGCAGGACUUCACCGACUCGGCCUACACGUCGCACGAGCACCGGGAGAAGAUCCUCCUGCUUUGCGACAGGGCCAAGCUUGAGCUCAACCAGCUCCUCAGGAUCGGCGUCAGCCUGGAUCAGGCAGGUUGUACGUCUCCCAACGAGGACCUCGAAAACGCCAUCGAGCAGACGCUAAGGGCGACGGCAGACCUCAAGCAGCAGCUUCGCGACACGGCACUGGACCACGCGGACGAGCUGUUCAAAACGAUGGACGAAGGCGAACUGCUCAACCGGCUGAAGAACGCCUCGCUCGCCGGGGAUCACGCCAGGCUCGAGGAGUACGCGGACAAAUUCGCCGAGCACGCCGAACACGUCCAGGAGGUGUGUCGGCUUCUCUAUCACGUGGCGAGCACGGAGGCCCUCCAGGUGACCGCCAAAAACACGGAUGCAUGUAUCAAGGUCUACGGCUCCCAGGUGGUGAGCGCCUGCCAGACCCUGAGCACGCACCCAGUCAGCAAGAUCGCCAAGGAGAACGUCGAGGUGUUCAUGGAGGUGUGGCAGUCGCUGGUCAACGACGUGGCCUCGAUAUCGCGAGAGGCCAGCCAGCAGUGCCGGCCGCCGGUGCAGGGCCCUGACAGCGCACGAUCCGUCUACAUGUCGCUGCCAAGGCCCGGGCGCCACGGCACAACGAGCAAGCCCCUGAAGCCCAUGAAGCUUGACACUGAGUGCAUCAAUUCGCAGGAGCAGGCCAAGAUCGCCAAGCUCGGCCUCGAGAUGAAGCUGUUGACGUCGGAGAUGGACGCCGAGACGGAGAAGUGGCCCGCCGCCGAGAAUGACAUCGUAGGCCGGGCACGCGCCAUGUCUCAGAUGGCCUUCUCCAUGUACCAGUUCACCCGAGGAGAGGGCGACCUCAAGACCACACAGGAUCUCUUCACUCAAGCCGAAUUUUUUGCAGAAGAAGCCAACAAGCUCUAUAAGGUUGUACGGCAGUUUUCAUACCAGGUUCCCACGGGACAGCACAAGAAAGAGCUGCUUGAGUUUCUGGACAAGGUUCCCACAUUUGUCCAGCAGCUGCAGUUCACGGUGAAGAACCCAACAGUGGGAAAGGCGGCUACAUUUACCAAGGUUGAUAAUGUCAUCCAGGAAACGAAAAACCUGAUGAAUGUCAUCUCUAAAGUGGUCACAACCUGUCUAGUCUGCGCAACAAAGUACAACCUGGACUUCCGUGGCUCGGAAAGUGGCCGGGCGCACUCUCAGUGUGGCUACCAGGACGAGGAGUACAGCUACAGUGACGGAGGCGGCAGCACAGGAUUUGGGUCUAAGGGCGGCCCGGGCACCGUCAGCUCGUCAGACCCGGGCAUCUGACAUGUCCACCCUCUAUUCAAAGACAGAAUUCCUAAGACCAUGUAAUGUGACGCCCAAGCAAUGUGGAAAAAACAAACAAACAAAAAGAAACAGCUGAAGAGCAUCGUGGAAACCACUCCUGAGAAUCAGUAUUGCUAAAUAUGAUGAACCGUGCAAAGUGGAGCAAGGUGGAUACCCUCACAAAACGCCC